rnacentral:rRNA from 1 species
GUCAUAAUCAUUAGUCUUUUAAUUUGAGACUGGAAUGAAAGAGUAAACCGGGAGAAUUUUUUUUCAGUUGAGAAAAUGAAUUUUACUUUUUAGUAAGAAGGCUAAAAUUUAACUUUUAGACAAGAAGACCCUAUAAAACUUUAUAUUUUUAUUUCUUAGUUGAAAGAAGAAGUAUUUCGCUGGGGCGGUGGAGGAAAGCUCUUCCUUUAAAAAAAAUAAACUCUCUUGUUUAAAUACCUAGAAAUUCUAAAUUAGAAAUAAGUUACUUUAGGGAUAACAGCUUAAUUUACUUAGAAAGAUCAAAUUGACAAGUAAGUUUAUGACCUCGAUGUUGAAUUAAAAGACCUUUUUUGUGCAAAAGCUAAAAA